GAUGAACGCUAGCGGCAGGCUUAACACAUGCAAGUCGAGGGGUAUAGGUUUUCGGACCUAGAGACCGGCGCACGGGUGCGUAACGCGUAUGCAAUCUACCUUUCACAGAGGGAUAGCCCCGAGAAAUUUGGAUUAAUACCUCAUAGUAUAGCAGUUUCGCAUGAAACCACUAUUAAAGUAUCAACGGUGAAAGAUGAGCAUGCGUCCCAUUAGCUAGAUGGUAAGGUAACGGCUUACCAUGGCUACGAUGGGUAGGGGUCCUGAGAGGGCGAGCCCCCACACUGGUACUGAGACACGGACCAGACUCCUACGGGGGGCAGCAGUGAGGAAUAUUGGUCAAUGGACGCAAGUCUGGACCAGCCAUGCCGCGUGCAGGAUGACGGUCCUAUGGAUUGUAAACUGCUUUUGUACGAGAAGAAACAACAUUACGUGUAAUGUCUUGACGGUAUCGUAAGAAUAAGGAUCGGCUAACUCCGUGCCAGCAGCCGCCGUAAUAC
rnacentral:rRNA from 1 species